GAACGGAAGGAGUACAUGAUAAGACAUCCUUAAAUUCAGCAUUCAAGGUCGUAAUAAUAUCCUGAUACUACAGAUAUGCUGACAGCAGAGCACGGUGUCCGUACCAAGUGGAACCAAACUUGUAGGCAAGUAAACCUGACACCAUACCAAUAUGUAAAUAAGAAGCAAAAGCGCAAGGAAAACAUAGCUCACACAAAGGACCGAGAAUUAGUGGCAUAAAUUACCAAAAGCAACCAGUUGUCCUAUAGUUCAAAUCAAAUUCUAAAGCGGAGGCUGAAUAUGGUAGAGACCCGUCAUCUUUUUAUUUUAAAACUUGUAGCGCCAGGAAUUACUCAGGGACAUUGUACACUGCAACAAUUUAAUGUUUGCUUGUACAUCACCGAGGACAUAUAGCUCCAUCUGUAAAUUCAGUAAAUUUGUACAAAUUCAGUAUAUUGACAAGGAUCAAUAUGUAGCUGAGCACCCUCUCAUAUUGAUCAUUGUCUACCUAUACACGGGGCAAAUUAGUUACCCACACACAUAUACACACACACAUGGGGAUCUAGAAGAAGAAAAAUCGGAUCAUCUAUAGGUGUUAUAUCUUUGCAGAAGGUAAAACCUUAGAGGUACCCUAAGUAAAAUUCAAUGUGUGUAAACUGAUCUGACAAGCGAAACUUUAAUUCAACAAACAUGGCAAUCACUAAUUCCGAUAAGAAGACAUGCUUGAUUAUAUGAUCUAAACAAUAGCCUUGUUAUAUUACCUGACGAUAUAGGGAUGACUGAAACUUAAAGUCCAUAAAUUAAGAAGUAAUAGGUCACAGGUUGCAGAAGAGGACCACGCUUGAAUUUCCAAAUGUUUAUCAAAUGAUCAAAAAGUCCAGUUUGAGACACUAUCAUCUGCAGCAGGGAAAUAUAGUAACAUCUGGGCAGUAUAGUUAGAAGCAAAAAUAAUGCAACUAAGCAAUCAUGAUGGAAAAGGUAAAACUAAUACAAACAGAGUACUACAGAGAACUACCAAUAUCACUGAUAAGUACUGAAUCCAACACACACAAAAAUCAACACUCUUAGCUGGAUGCUCCAGAUCUCAGGCCCACCUCACCUACCUCCUUCUUAGCUGUGUAGUUGCAGUGCUGACCAAGCAGCAUGACACUGCCAACGCGCGCCGGUGAUCAGCAUCAGUGUGAACUCGCCAUCAACGAAAUGAUCUUUCCCCUGUUCUAUUAGCGGGAGGUAUACUUCUCCAACACUGAACAUUCGGACUUCUCAGACAAAAUAUUUGGACACACAUG
rnacentral:lncRNA from 1 species